UUUUAUCUUCUUAUUUUUUUUGCGACAUGGUGGUCACCUAAUCUUGUUUUUUUUUGUUACGGAUUUUGUGACUUAUUUCGACUUUCCUUUUUUUGAUUUUUAUCCCUAAUUUUUUUCUGGACCACUUUUUCGAGUGUUCAGUCCACCGGGAUGCCCUAAUUUUUGCCCAAGUCGUUUUUGGCUAUCGACUUAGCGGGCUUUUUUUCUAUUAUUUUUUGAACCAUUUCCACGGGGCUUGUUCUUAUGGUGAAAAGGUUGUGAC
rnacentral:lncRNA from 1 species